AAAGGAGCAGCAACGUUUCGACCUGCUAAGAGGUCUUUGUCAAACACCUCUUAGCAGGUCGAAACGUUGCUGCUCCUUUA